CUGCCCUUUGAAAACCUCCCCACGGUUAUCUGGAGAACAGGCACUGCGUGGGCAGUAGCAUGUCAGGCUUGCUCCAUGCUGCACUCCCCUUCCAAUGUGCUUCAACUCUGACCUGGAGAGACCUCCCCUAGGGCUAAGCGGGGAGCUUGGUGUCAUUGACAUGCAGCCCUUGGCAUCU
ensembl:misc_RNA